GAUUCGGGGUGCAGCAGGCGCGAAAACUUUGCAAUACACGAAAGUGUGACAGGGCUAUCCCGAGUGCCAUCCGCUGAGGAAGGCUUUUACCCAGUCUAGAACGCUGGGGGAAUAAGGAGAGGGCAAGUCUGGUGUCAGCCGCCGCGGUAAUACCAGCUCUCCGAGUGGUGUGGAUGUUUAUUGGGCCUAAAGCAUCCGUAGCUGGCUAGGUAAGUCCCUUGUUAAAUCCACCGAAUUAAUCGUUGGAUCGCGGGGGAUACUGCUUGGCUAGGGGACGAGAGAGGCAGACGGUAUUUUUGGGGUAGGGGUGAAAUUCUAUAAUCCCAGGAAGACCACCAGUGGCGAAGGCUGUCUGCUAGAACGCGCCCGACGGUGAGGGUUGAAAGCUGGGGGAGCGAACCGGAUUAGAUACCCGGGUAGUCCCAGCUGUAAACGAUGCAGACUAGGUGUUUGGACGGCCACGUGCCGUUCUAGUGCCGCAGGGAAGCUGUUAAGUCUGCCGCCUGGGGAGUACGAUCGCAAGAUUGAAACUUAAAGGAAUUGGCGGGGGAGCACAAUCACUAGUGAAU
rnacentral:rRNA from 1 species